GACGAACGCUGGCGGCGUGCUUAACACAUGCAAGUCGAACGGAAAGGCCCUGCUUGCAGGGUACUCGAGUGGCGAACGGGUGAGUAACACGUGGGUGAUCUGCCCUGCACUUCGGGAUAAGCCUGGGAAACUGGGUCUAAUACCGGAUAUGACCUUCAAUGUAGUGUGGGGGGUGGAAAGAUUUAUCGGGGUGGGAUGAGCCCGCGGCCUAUCGGCUUGUUGGUGGGGUAAUGGCCUACCAAGGCGUCGACGGGUAGCCGGCCUGAGAGGGUGGACGGCAACAUUGGGACUGAGAUACGGCCCAGACUACUACGGGAGGCAGCAGUGGGGAAGAUUGCACAAUGGGCGGAAGCCGUAUGCAGCGACGCCGCGUGGGGGAUGACGGCCUUCGGGUUGUAAACCUCUUUCGACAGGGACGAAGCUUCGGUGACGGUACCUGUAUAAGAAGCACCGGCUAACUACGUG
rnacentral:rRNA from 1 species